CCGGGCGGUACUUGAGGAAGCAGCAGGAAGAGACCCAGUUUAUCUACAAGGCCCUUGAAGCCCUGUGGAGAGAUGACAGUCCUUCCCAGACAAACAUAGUAGUUCAAGAUACAUUCAGUGAAAGAGCUGCAGAAGUGGCUCAGAAGAACCAGUGUCUGCAUCAGGCCUCCAAAUGCCAUGGAAGAUGAGACUACCUUGAGACCAGAAGAGACCAGCUGGAGCUCCAGGCACAGCUGAUGAUUGGCACAGCUGACCCUGUGGGAAACCUGCAGGGCUUCAGCCCUCUCCCUGCUUAUAGAUAGCUCCUUCCCUCCAGCCCUCAGACACUGCCCAUCCCCUUUUUUCCCCUCCACUCUCCCUCCCUGAUGACAGCUCUUUCCCUCUAGCCCUCAGAUCCUGCCGAUCCCAUUUUUCCCUCCUACCCCAUCCCUUUGGUUUGUCUUCUAUUAAUAAAUUGUUUGGCUUUUUCA